rnacentral:rRNA from 1 species
UCCCCUAGUAACUGCGAGUGAAGCGGGAAGAGCUCAAAUUUAAAAUCUGGCAGUUCUUGGGCUGUCCGAAUUGUAAUCUAGAGAAGCAUUAUCCGCACUGGACUGUGUACAAGUCUUCUGGAAUGGAGCAUCAUAGAGGGUGAGAAUCCCGUCUUUGACACAGACUACCAGAGCUUUGUGAUGUGCUCUCAAAGAGUCGAGUUGUUUGGGAAUGCAGCUCCAAAUGGGUGGUAAAUUCCAUCUAAAGCUAAAUAUUGGCGAGAGACCGAUAGCGAACAAGUACCGUGAGGGAAAGAUGAAAAGAACUUUGGAAAGAGAGUUAAACAGUACGUGAAAUUGUUGAAAGGGAAACGCUUGAAGUUAGUCACAUUGGUUUAGAGAUCAACCUCACUCUGUUUGGGUGUGGUGUACUUUCUAAUCAAUGGGUCAGCAUCAAUUUUGACCAGUGGAAAAAAUUCAAGUGAAUGUAGCAUCUUUUCGAUGUGUUAUAGCUCUUGUCUACAUACAUUGGUUGAGAUUGAGGAACUCAGCAUGCUGAAAGGCCAGGUUUUUUUUUUUAA